rnacentral:rRNA from 1 species
UACGGAGGGAGCUAGCGUUGUUCGGAAUUACUGGGCGUAAAGCGCACGUAGGCGGCUACUCAAGUCGGGGGUGAAAGCCCGGGGCUCAACCCCGGAACUGCCCUCGAAACUAGGUAGCUGGAAUCUUGGAGAGGCGAGUGGAAUUCCGAGUGUAGAGGUGAAAUUCGUAGAUAUUCGCAAGAACACCAGUGGCGAAGGCGGCUGACUGGUCCGGUUCUGACGCUGAGGCGCGAAAGCGUGGGGAGCAAACAGG